CCCCCUCCUUCAGAGCUGCUCACCUUCGGGUCGGAGUCGCUUUUGGGGGGCUUCUGAGGGUCUCCAAACCCUCCAUUUUGUCCCUUUUCAGGCCUUUUACAUUCUCAAAAGGGAUUGAGAGAUUCCCCCCCUAUUUUCCUCAUACAUUGGUUCAGUCCAUCCAUUGAGAAGACUGAGGGACAAAAACGCCGACUGCGUUCCUCGGACACCCGCCACCACCAUUCGUACCUGGAACGCCGCAGCCUUUCGGCGCCAAAGAUGAGGACCAACAAAGUUUACAAACUCGUCAUCCACAAGAAAGGAUUCGGAAGCAGCGACGAUGAACUGAUGGUGAACCCGAAGGUCUUCCUCCAGAUCAAACUGGGAGACAUAGUGGAAAUCGCGCACCCCAAUGACGAAUAUAGGUGAAUUCCCAUUAAAUUUGCGCCGUCCGGCAGUUAUGGCGGAUCGAUGCGAAGGGACGCUGGGAUUCGUAGCGCCAGAACCGCGUUAAUAUUGAGGAAUUAGACUUAAAUUAUGUAGCUUUAGUCGGGGAGGUUGUUGUGCUUUGGGGAGGAAUCAGCGCAGACAAAA